rnacentral:rRNA from 1 species
AUGAACGCUAGCUACAGGCUUAACACAUGCAAGUCGAGGGGCAGCAUUUUAGUUUGCUUGCAAACUAAAGAUGGCGACCGGCGCACGGGUGAGUAACACGUAUCCAACCUGCCGAUAACUCGGGGAUAGCCUUUCGAAAGAAAGAUUAAUAUCCGAUAGUAUAUUAAAACCGCAUGGUUUUACUAUUAAAGAAUUUCGGUUAUCGAUGGGGAUGCGUUCCAUUAGUUUGUUGGCGGGGUAACGGCCCACCAAGACUACGAUGGAUAGGGGUUCUGAGAGGAAGGUCCCCCACAUUGGAACUGAGACACGGUCCAAACUCCUACGGGAGGCAGCAGUGAGGAAUAUUGGUCAAUGGACGAGAGUCUGAACCAGCCAAGUAGCGUGAAGGAUGACUGCCCUAUGGGUUGUAAACUUCUUUUAUAUGGGAAUAAAGUAUUCCACGUGUGGGAUUUUGUAUGUACCAUAUGAAUAAGGAUCGGCUAACUCCGUGCCAGCAGCCGCGGUAAUACGGAGGAUCCGAGCGUUAUCCGGAUUUAUUGGGUUUAAAGGGAGCGUAGGUGGAUUGUUAAGUCAGUUGUGAAAGUUUGCGGCUCAACCGUAAAAUUGCAGUUGAAACUGGCAGUCUUGAGUACAGUAGAGGUGGGCGGAAUUCGUGGUGUAGCGGUGAAAUGCUUAGAUAUCACGAAGAACUCCGAUUGCGAAGGCAGCUCACUAGACUGCAACUGACACUGAUGCUCGAAAGUGUGGGUAUCAAACAGGAUUAGAUACCCUGGUAGUCCACACAGUAAACGAUGAAUACUCGCUGUUUGCGAUAUACAGUAAGCGGCCAAGCGAAAGCAUUAAGUAUUCCACCUGGGGAGUACGCCGGCAACGGUGAAACUCAAAGGAAUUGACGGGGGCCCGCACAAGCGGAGGAACAUGUGGUUUAAUUCGAUGAUACGCGAGGAACCUUACCCGGGCUUGAAUUGCAACUGAAUGAUGUGGAGACAUGUCAGCCGCAAGGCAGUUGUGAAGGUGCUGCAUGGUUGUCGUCAGCUCGUGCCGUGAGGUGUCGGCUUAAGUGCCAUAACGAGCGCAACCCUUAUCUUUAGUUACUAACAGGUCAUGCUGAGGACUCUAGAGAGACUGCCGUCGUAAGAUGUGAGGAAGGUGGGGAUGACGUCAAAUCAGCACGGCCCUUACGUCCGGGGCUACACACGUGUUACAAUGGGGGGUACAGAAGGCAGCUACCUGGUGACAGGAUGCUAAUCCCAAAAACCUCUCUCAGUUCGGAUCGAAGUCUGCAACCCGACUUCGUGAAGCUGGAUUCGCUAGUAAUCGCGCAUCAGCCACGGCGCGGUGAAUACGUUCCCGGGCCUUGUACACACCGCCCGUCAAGCCAUGAAAGCCGGGGGUACCUGAAGUGCGUAACCGCGAGGAGCGCCCUAGGGUAAAACUGGUGAUUGGGGCU